GACGAACGCUGGCGGCGUGCCUAAUACAUGCAAGUCGAACGAACCGCCGCUGAGUUCUUUCAUUUGGUCAUGGUGAGUGGCGAACGGGUGAGUAACACGUGGGUAACCUACCUCAUAGGGGUGGAUAAGAGUCGGCAGCGACUGCUAAGGCCGCUUUGUACAUACGCACAGAUGAUCAGUGGAGGACAGUUUUCGCGACCCAUAGCGAUGGAAUCGCGCCGCAUUAGCUAGUUGGUAGGGUAAGGGCAUACCAAGGCAACGAUGCAUAGCCGACCUGAGCGGGUGAUCGGCCACAUUGGAACUGAGACACGGCCCAAACUCCUACGGGAGGCAGCAGUAGGGAAUCUUCCGCAAUGGACGCAAGUCUGACGGAGCAACGCCGCGUGAGUGAAGAAGGUCUUCGGAUCGUAAAGCUCUGUUGUUAGAGAAGAACAGAGGAUAGAGUAACUGCUAUGCGUGUGACGGUAUCUAAUCAGAAAGCCACGGCUAACUACGUG
rnacentral:rRNA from 1 species